rnacentral:rRNA from 1 species
ACUCCUACGGGAGGCAGCAGUGGGGAAUAUUGGACAAUGGGCGAAAGCCUGAUCCAGCCAUGCCGCGUGUGUGAAGAAGGUCUUCGGAUUGUAAAGCACUUUAAAGUUGGGAGGAAGGGCAGUAAAUUAAUACUUUGCUGUUUUGACGUUACCGACAGAAUAAGCACCGGCUAACUCUGUGCCAGCAGCCGCGGUAAUACAGAGGGGUGCAAGCGUUAAUCGGAAUUACUGGGCGUAAAGCGCGCGUAGGUGGUUCGUUAAGUUGGAUGUGAAAUCCCCGGGGCUCAACCUGGGAACUGCAUUCAAAACUGUCGAGCUAGAGUAUGGUAGAGGGUGGUGGAAUUUCCUGUGUAGCGGUGAAAUGCGUAGAUAUAGGAAGGAACACCAGUGGCGAAGGCGACCACCUGGACUGAUACUGACACUGAGGUGCGAAAGCGUGGGGAGCAAACAGGAUUAGAUA